rnacentral:rRNA from 1 species
UACGUAGGGGGCGAGCGUUGUCCGGAUUUAUUGGGCGUAAAGAGCUCGUAGGCGGUCUGUUGCGUCCGCUGUGAAAACCCGGGGCUUAACCCCUGGCUUGCAGUGGAUACGGACAGACUAGAGGUAGGUAGGGGAGAAUGGAAUUCCCGGUGUAGCGGUGAAAUGCGCAGAUAUCAGGAGGAACACCCGUGGCGAAAGCGGCUCUCUGGGACGUGACUGACGCUGAGACGCGAAAGCGUGGGGAGCGAACAGG